rnacentral:misc_RNA from 1 species
AAAUAAAUAUGGCGUCUUAUAAAUUUACGCGUGGUGAUCGAUUAAAAUUAUGACAAAGAGUAGAAUUUAAAUUUUAAUAUAAUAAAAAAAAUAAUUGUUUUAAUUAUCAAAUAUAAUUGUUGUUUUAAUUAUCAAGAACAAUGAAAUCUACAAAAAUAACGAGACCUACAGAAACAAUGCAAGUUAAAAAAACAAUGAAAUCUAUGAGAAGAAUGAAAUCCACAAAUCAUAGAUAUCGUAAUCAAGUAUCAAUUGAUCCAGAAAAAUUAGCAAAAUAUAGUAAAGGUGAUGGAAUUGAUUUAAAAUCAGGAUCAUCUAAAAUCAGAAAUAAAGUAAUAAAACAAAAAUUAAAAAGAAAGGAGAAAAAUUUUGAAAUAACAGUAAAAGAUACUGCUCGUACUGAAUUACUUUUGACAGAAGAUUAUGGUUGUUUGGAAGCUGAUGCUGGAGAAAUAACAGUACAAUAUAAUCAAAAACAAAUUGCAGAUAAUGCAGAUAUAACAAGUGCUGCUAAACAUUUUACAUUAAAUUUAGAUUUUGGACCGUAUUAUAUAAAAUAUACAAGAAAUGGUAGACAUUUAGUAUUAGGUGGGAAGAAAGGUCAUGUAGCUGCUUUAGAUUGGAUCACAAAAAAAUUAGCUUGUGAAAUAAAUGUAAUGGAAUCAGUACAUGAUGUAUCAUGGCUUCAUAUAGAAACAAUGUUUGCAGUAGCACAAAAAGAAUGGGUAUUUAUUUAUGACAAUCAAGGAAUUGAACUUCAUUGUUUAAAAUUAAUGAACAAAAUUAAUAAAUUAGAAUUUUUGCCUUAUCAUUUUUUACUUGCCAGUGGAUCUAGAGAUGGUUACUUGGCAUGGUUAGAUAUUUCCAUUGGAAAAUUUGUAAACUCUUUUAAUUCCAAAUUAGGAAAAAUAGCAGUAAUGACACAAAAUCCUAGUAAUGCAUUACUUUGUGUGGGUGACUCAAAAGGUAUAGUUUCAAUGUGGUCUCCAAAUAGUAAAGAUCCUUUGGUAAAAAUGUUAUGUCAUACUCAAGCAGUAGCUGCUUGUGCAGUUCAUCCUUAUGGAACUUAUAUGGCAACUAGUUGCCAAGAUAAAUUUGUAAAAAUAUGGGAUAUUAGACAAUUAGCAGGUCCAGUGCAUAAUUAUCGUGUACGGGCUCCAGUUCAACAUUUAUCUUAUAGUCAAUGUGGUCAAUUAGCAUUAGCUAUGGGAAAUGUUGUAGAAGUUUAUCGAUCAUUGGCCAAUGAAAUAAAACCUUACUUACGUCAUAGAGCUGAAUGGACUGUGACAAGUAUGCAAUUUUGUCCAUAUGAAGAUAUUUUAGGUAUUGGUACAUUGAGAGGAGUUUCUUCUCUUUUAGUACCAGGAAGUGGAGAAGCUAACUUUGAUGCUCUUGAAAAUAAUCCAUUCCAAACUAAAAUUCAGAGACGCGAAGCUGAAAUAAAAGCUCUAUUAGAUAAGAUUCAACCAGAAUUAAUAUGUUUGGAUCCAAUUGCUAUUACAGAAGUAGAUGUACCCACCUUAAAAGAUAAAAUAGAAGCUAAAAAGAAUCUUUUGUAUCUUAAACCAAAAGAGAUAGAUUUCAAACCUCGUAGAACGAAGGCUAAAGGUAAAGGCGGAACAGCUAAAGUAAUUAAGACUAAAAAGAUUCUAAAAGAUUUAAAUCGAAGGGAACUAUUAAUAUACUUCGCCAAGCAAAUAUUCAAUCAAAUAUAAAGAAAGUAGAAAAAAUCUCAAAAAGAUUAUGGAAUAUUAAAUAGAUUUUUACCAAGAUCUAAUAAACAAACAAGUAGAUAGCCAAAUAUGUUACAUACAAAACAGUAUAAAGUGCGCUGUAAAUAAAUUUAAGAUAAAUGAUUGGUUACAUAUAUAUAUAUAUAUAUAUGUAUAUAUAGUAUUGAAGUGUGAGGUGUUUAAUGAAAUAAGUAAGCAUUCAAUAGUUUAACUGUAACAUUCUAUAAUUUAAUUGUUAUAAUAAAAAAGGAAUAAUUUAUGUAACUACAA